rnacentral:rRNA from 1 species
CCAAUAGCGUAUAUUAAAGUUGUUGCAGUUAAAAAGCUCGUAGUUGAAUUUCGGGAUCAAUAUGUCGGUCGUGCCUCGGUACGUACUGGCAUCAUUGGUUUCUCCCUUCUGAUGAACCAUAAUGCCAUUAAUUUGGUGUUGUGGGGAAUCAGGACUGUUACUUUGAAAAAAUUAGAGUGUUUAAAGCAGGCUCACGCUUGAAUACAUUAGCAUGGAAUAAUGAAAUAGGACGUUUGAUUCUAUUUUGUUGGUUUCUAGGAUCGACGUAAUGAUUAAUAGGGAUAGUGGGGGGCAUUAGUAUUCAAUUGUCAGAGGUGAAAUUCUUGGAUUUAUUGAAGACUAACUACUGCGAAAGCAUUUGCCAAGGAUGUUUUCAUUAAUCAAGAACGAAAGUUAGGGGAUCGAAGACGAUCAGAUACCGUCGUAGUCUUAACCAUAAACUAUGCCGACUAGGGAUCGGAUGAUGUUAAUUCUUUUUAAUGACUCAUUCGGCGCCUUAUG